rnacentral:misc_RNA from 1 species
AAUGUCGUAACAAGGUUUCCGUAGGUGAACCUGCGGAAGGAUCAUUAUCGUAGGGGCUUCGGCCCUGUCGAGAUAGAACCCUUGCCUUUGAUGAGUACCGUCCGUUUCCUCGGCAGGUCCGCCUGCCGUGGACAAAAAAAAUUUUGAAAAGCCCGUUUCAUCACCUGUAUCAGUCUGAAAAAAGGCAAAUAAAAAUUUUCAAAAG